AGGCAAGGAAAUAAAGAAAACUUCUCAAGCCUCACCCGUGCCUCUACCACCCGAUUCUCUCCCAUUUCCAUUCUCCUUCCAAUCUUAAGCCAAGCACCCAUUAUUCCUUCUUCUCAAGAGGAAAAUAGCAAGGAAAGAGUACCUUAACCUUUCUCCUUUGUGUAUUUUGAACCUAGCCAUGGUUUAAUCAAGUGGGUUUUCCUUUUAUUGUUGUUGAUGUUUCGAUUUUGGAUUUCCAGCCAAGGGUUCGUGUGCUCUAUAGUUCCCUAAGUCGAACCCACCUCUCCUCUUCUCCAUUUUUGUGUUCUGGGAAGGAUUCACCAGAGGUAUUGAUAGAGAGUUUGUGGAGCCGGGCACUACCGAGGAGGGAGGGGCCGAUGCUUAGUGUUCCCCUAUUGGUUCAACCCUUUUGAUGAUGAUGGUUUAUGGUUUUAUGUUUUAAGAUGGGUCCCAUGUUGGGACGUUUUGUUGAAUUAACUUUAAGACAAUGUAUCUUUUGGGUAUGAUAUAAUUUCUAUUGUGGGGAGAUGGUAACAGUGUAACUUCUAUGGUGGGGUGAUGGUAAUCCCCCCAUACGUUGACU